rnacentral:rRNA from 1 species
UACGAAGGGGGCUAGCGUUGCUCGGAAUCACUGGGCGUAAAGCGCACGUAGGCGGAUCGCUAAGUCAGGGGUGAAAUCCUGGAGCUCAACUCCAGAACUGCCUUCGAUACUGAGAGUCUCGAGUCCGGGAGAGGUGAGUGGAACUGCGAGUGUAGAGGUGAAAUUCGUAGAUAUUCGCAAGAACACCAGUGGCGAAGGCGGCUCACUGGCCCGGUACUGACGCUGAGGUGCGAAAGCGUGGGGAGCAAACAGG